AUAGUUCAUUAAACAAGGAAUUUUAUGAAUUUAUGUAAUCAUGUUUAAUGUUGAUAUGAAGGAAACUUUCCAUGAUGAUUCUCACCUGAUCCUCCCUCCUUCAUUCCUGAACAGAAAGUUUUUUAAGCUUUGGCCUCUUUUAGCCUGGAGGCUUUAAGUUUUAUAACUGGUUUGUCUCAAACGUUUCCAACAAAAAGUUAAAAACCUGCUGAGUUACAAACAGGUUUUAACUUGCCGUUUGCUGGAAGAUGUUUCUGAGUUUCUGUCUCUGCUGUUCAGGAUUGUUUCCUCGUUCCUCAGUUUGGGUUCAUUUGUCACACAGAUGAACCAGGAGUUGAUGGUCGGCACAGAGACAUAUAGCUGGAAAAUAAAACCUAAACUAGUCAGUUCUCUACUGUUGGGUCCCA